rnacentral:lncRNA from 1 species
CUUGCUUUUCAAGCCCCUGAUGGAAAAGGAAUCCCAUCAGCUCCUCCCAGGAGUCAUUAUGAAUCUAUUCAGUGGACCAUCUCUACCGCCACACAAAGUGUACAGAUGAACAAUACAAAAUUCUGUCUACUGGAAAUACUUCCCUUUAGGAAUUUCAGGCUGACACAAAUGGGGCUAGAGUGUAGCAGCUAUCUGCUCCUGGAUGGGGUCAACAUCCAUCAAAAAGACAGUUCACCGAGGACAGGUAGUGCGUCAUUGGAAGGACUGAUGCUGAAGCUGAAACUCCAAUACUUUGGCCACCUCCUGUGAAGAACUGACUCAUUUGAAAAGACCUUGAUGUUGGGAAAGAUUGAAGGCAGGAGGAGAAGGGGGCAACAGAGAAUAAGAUGGUUGGAUGGCAUCACCAACUCAAUGGACAUGAGUUUGAGCAAGCUCUAAGAUUUGGAGAUGGACAGGGAGGCUUUGCGUGCUGCAGUCCAUGGGGUCACAAAGAGUUGGACACGACUGAGUGACUGAACUGAGAGACAGAUAUACAGAACAAACGUAUGGACAGGUAGUGCUCUAGACUCUAAAUGUCUCUAAGGGCAGUUUUUAAUUUAUUCCAUGUGGAAAUGCAUGAGAAGACCCUGAGCCUGAUAGAAUGCUUUCGCAUAUGAUAGACAUUCAGUUAAUAUUUGGUAAUGAUGAUGGAUUUUAGGCCAAAUAUGUUUUGAGAGUUGAAGUCUUCUUGUGAACAAGAGUAAUAAAAAUGAUGAACCUUUAUUAAUCA